GCACCAGAGCCAAAACUUUCAAAUAUUACUAAUCCAACUGUCCCAAUAAUCAUGUCUUUCAACAAAUAAGACAAUACAUGUUAACUGUGAAUUUUAAAUAAAUUCUAGUAACAAGUAAUUUCACUUGCAAGUAAAAGGUUCAAAUUUUCUUUUGUUCCUAUCUGUCGAAUCCUUUUGUUUGUCUUGUAGCAAAGGCUCUCUCUUGGCUCUGGUGCUUCUUUGGGUUUCCAUAUUUGAGAGGUACAAUUUGCUCAAUGUACGAUUUUUCAGGAAAGUGUCUCUUAUCUUUCUGAAGUUUUUGCAGUUGUGGCAACCAGUAUGCAACAUAUUCGCCUUCAUGAUCAUAGGUUUGUGCUUGCUUUGGAAUGCUGAAAUAACGAUCUUCCCUAGGGUCAUUUCCAAUUCCUGCACCAUAGGUCCAAUUCCCAUAAUUGGAACAGGGGUCAUAAUCCAAGAGGCAUGUCUCAAACCAUUCAGCUCCCAUACGCCAGUCAAUGCCCAUAUCUCGAACAAGAAAGGAACACACGAUCUGUCGUCCUCGAUUUGACAUAAAUCCGGUGGUAAAAAGUUCCUUCAUGUUUGCAUCUAUGAGAGGGUACCCUGUACACCCAUCUCUCCAAGAUUCAAACAACCUCUGGUCUUGACUCCAUCUUCUUUCCACUUUCCGUGGGCCACCUAAAUGGAAAAUUGAAUUUCCAUAUUUGGUUGAGAGAAACCUGAAGUAAUCCCUCCAAAUCAAUUCAAACAAAACCCAGUAUGUGGAAUCAUUUGCUUGCCUUUCCUUUUCAUAUCUAAUUACCUCUUCACAGAUGAAACGAGGAGAAAGGCUUCCUGAAGCAAGCCAUGGAGAGAAUUUCGUUGAGUAAUCAGGUCCCAGCAUCCCAUUUCUAGUCUCCUUAUAUAUCUUCAGCAAAUCCUUCUUCCAGAAGUACUCAAAAACCCUACAUAAUGCAGCACUUUCACCUCCCAGAAAGUUCAUUCCUUUGUUAACCUUUUGUGAUUGAAGUCCAAGCUGAUCAAUUGAUGGAACACAACCCCAAUCUUCAACGCUAGGCGGUGGUGCAAGAGAUGUUGGAAUUUUAAAACAGCAUCGGAUGGUACAUUUUGCUUCAACAGACUUACGAAACUGAGUAUACACAUCAGGUAUGGUGUUGGUAGAAAAAGGGAGGUCAUCCAUGUGGUACAUAGUGCUGCCCCAAACAAGUUGUAGCUUAGGAUUGUUUGUAGAGCACUGGCCAGUGGAUUUCUCUGGAAAAGGUGCUAACUUUACUUGCAGUAGUGCUUUAUUGACUAAUCUCUCGACAUUUACCUCUUCACUGCAUGUUUCUUUUUGCGCAUAUACUGUGUGGGCUGCAAAAGCUUGAACAAGAGAAGGGAUGAUUUCCUCAGGUUUGCCAUGUCGAAUUAGCAGGUUGAGUCCCCUCUUCAUCAAAUUUUUCUUCAAGUCAGCCAAACACUCGAUAAUAAAUUGAGCUCUCAAAGCUCCAGUUUUAGGGAAGCCAAAAUAGUAAGUAUUUCCAAAAAGUCGAGGAUCCACACAAUA
rnacentral:misc_RNA from 1 species